UACGUAGGGGGCGAGCGUUGUCCGGAGUUACUGGGCGUAAAGGGCAUGCAGGCGGUCCGACACGUUUUGUGUGACAGCGGGUGGCUUAACUACCCGAGGAUACGAAAGACGGUUGGACUUGAGGACUCGAGAGGGACACGGAAUUCCGGGUGGAGUGGUGAAAUGCGUAGAGAUCCGGAGGAACACCGAAGGCGAAGGCAGUGUCCUGGCGAGUGACUGACGCUGAGGUGCGAAAGCGUGGGGAGCGAACAGG
rnacentral:rRNA from 1 species